rnacentral:piRNA from 1 species
UGGCACCAGGAUUAAGGGGGUCCCUGCCACA